rfam:Triticum urartu cultivar G1812 contig246692, whole genome shotgun sequence.
GCACUAUUCCCUCCGUUCGGAAUUACUUGUCGCAGAAACGGAUGUAUCUAGAUGUAUUCUAGUUCUAAAUGCAUCCAUUUCCGAGACAAGGAAUUCCGAACGAAGGGAGUACAAA